UACAAAAUACACUGGUCUGGGAGCCCUUUUUAGCUGGCGAUUGCAGCUCCUGCGAGACAGAGGUGCCCAUUCAUCUGAUUAAAAAGGGGACUGAAGCAGGGAGCCAGGCCAGGAGAUUCCCAGGCAAAAAAGCACCACAAAUCUCAGAGUGGCUGUUUCAGCUGGCGCAG